UAGGGAAUCUUCCACAAUGGACGAAAGUCUGAUGGAGCAACGCCGCGUGAGUGAAGAAGGGUUUCGGCUCGUAAAACUCUGUUGUUAAAGAAGAACAUAUCUGAGAGUAACUGUUCAGGUAUUGACGGUAUUUAACCAGAAAGCCACGGCUAACUACGUCACG
rnacentral:rRNA from 1 species